GCGCGAAAACUUUACAAUGCGGGCAACCGUGAUAAGGGAACCUCGAGUGCCUGUAUAUGCAGGCUGUCUGGGUGUCUAAAACACACCUAAAGAAAGGGCCGGGCAAGACCGGUGCCAGCCGCCGCGGUAAUACCGGCGGCUCGAGUGGUGGCCACUUUUAUUGGGCUUAAAGCGUUCGUAGCUGGGUUAUUAAGUCCCUUGGGAAAUCCGACGGCUUAACCGUCGGGCGUCUAAGGGAUACUGGUAAUCUUGGAACCGGGAGAGGUGAGGGGUACUUCGGGGGUAGGAGUGAAAUCCUGUAAUCCUCGAGGGACCACCUGUGGCGAAGGCGCCUCACCAGAACGGCUUCGACAGUGAGGGACGAAAGCUGGGGGAGCAAACCGGAUUAGAUACCCGGGUAGUCCCAGCCGUAAACGAUGUGCGUUAGGUGUAUCGGUGACCACGAGUCACCGAGGUGCCGAAGGGAAACCGUGAAACGUACCGCCUGGGAAGUACGGUCGCAAGGCUGAAACUUAAAGGAAUUGGCGGGGGAGCACCACAACAGGUGGAGCCUGCGGUUUAAUUGGACUCAACGCCGGAAAUCUCACCGGAUAAGACAGCUGAAUGAUUGUCGGGCUGAAGACUCUACAUGACUAGCU
rnacentral:rRNA from 1 species